rnacentral:lncRNA from 1 species
UUCGGAGAUGCUCCAAGAACCCUAGUUCUCGGCUUCUUUUCGGGUUUCUUGUCUUCUCCAGGUUCUUGCCGAUUCCCUCGCUGAAAGAUCGGACUAGUGCAUUCGCCGGCGGCGCGGAAACCCUGGGGAUCGAGGGAUUUCUUGGAGAAAAUGAUUUGAUUUCGAGACAUUUUGUGGUUGUUGAGGUAUAUGAUUCUUUCAUGAAACCUAGCUUGUGUUUCUAUGUAGAGAUCUUUCGGCAAACAGUGCUUCUUGUUAAUAUCUCUUAGGCUUCUUGGAUGUGCUCUAGAAAUAUUAGCUCUCUGGAUCCCCUAAUAUCUUAAACAUCUGUUGUGUCUGAUGGUAGAUUUGCUGGAGCUGAGUUCUUGCUGCGGAAACCCUCGGAAUUGAGACGUUUUGUGGAGGAAACGCUGUAGUUACUGAGGUACGACAAACCCUUGUUUGAGGUUAUUGCUUGGUGGUCUUUGUGAAAUUGCAGUCGUUGGUAUGUGCUGCUUGUGAGGCCGCAAUCAGAGCGGAAAAGAUAUGCAUUUUAUUCUAGGAAAAGAAUGAAUACUUCAGUCCAUACAAGAUGGAAUGAAAAAUCUGCAUAGAUAGAGAGGUGCAGAGAAAGGAGGAAAAGAGGAGGAGAAAUGGUAGGGAUCGUAGCACGCUUCCAAGGCUAUAUGACGAGACCCC